rnacentral:rRNA from 1 species
GUGGGGAAUUUUGCGCAAUGGGCGAAAGCCUGACGCAGCGACGCCGCGUGUGCGAUGAAGGCCUUUGGGUCGUAAAGCACUGUCGGUCGGGACGAAAUCUCAUACGAUAACACCGUAUGAGUUUGACGGUACCGGCAAAGGAAGCACCGGCUAACUCUGUGCCAGCAGCCGCGGUAAUACAGAGGGUGCAAACGUUGCUCGGAAUUAUUGGGCGUAAAGCGCGUGUAGGCGGCCUCGUAAGUCGACUGUGAAAGCCCUUGGCUCAACCAAGGAAGUGCAGUCGAAACUGCGAGACUAGAGUGCUGAAGAGGAUAGCGGAAUGGCCAGUGUAGAGGUGAAAUUCGUAGAUAUUGGCUAGAACACCGGUGGCGAAGGCGGCUAUCUGGGAAGUUACUGACGCUGAGACGCGAAAGCGUGGGGAGCAAACAGGAUUAGAAACCCCAGUAGUCC